rnacentral:rRNA from 1 species
CCUACGGGAGGCAGCAGUGAGGAAUAUUGGUCAAUGGGCGUAAGCCUGAACCAGCCAAGUCGCGUGAGGGAUGAAGGUUCUAUGGAUCGUAAACCUCUUUUAUAAGGGAAUAAAGUGUGGGACGUGUCCUGUUUUGUAUGUACCUUAUGAAUAAGGAUAGGCUAACUCCGUGCCAGCAGCCGCGGUAAUACGGAGGAUCCGAGGUUUAUACGGAUUGAUUGGGUUUAAAGGGUGCGUAGGCGGCCUUUUAAGUCAGCGGUGAAAGUCUGUGGCUCAACCAUAGAAUUGCCGUUGAAACUGGGAGGCUUGAGUAUGUUUGAGGCAGGCGGAAUGCGUGGUGUAGCGGUGAAAUGCUUAGAUAUAACGCAGAACCCCGAUUGCGAAGGCAGCCUGCCAAGCCAUGACUGACGCUGAUGCACGAAAGCGUGGGGAUCAAACAGGAUUAGAUACCCUUGUAGUC